rnacentral:misc_RNA from 1 species
CCUUACCAUCCUUAUCUACCCUUA